rnacentral:tRNA from 2 species
UGCGGGGUGGAGCAGCUGGUAGCUCGUUGGGCUCAUAACCCAAAGGUCGUAGGUUCGAAUCCUGCCCCCGCUA